UCUUGUAUGAUUACCCCAUGACUAUUGUUCAUUGUGACAACUGGUUUGACUAUUGGGGAAAAGGCACUUCAGUCACCGUUACUGCAGAAUCCCCAAAGGCCCCUUCUCUUUUCCCACUCAUCCCAUCUGGGGACAACUCAGAGACCAUAGAUAUCACCAUCGGAUGUCUUGCCAAGAAUUUUCUGCCAGAUUCAAUUGAUUUCUCCUGGGAUAACCAACGAAACCAGAGUAUUGGCAACCAGAACUACAUAAAAUUUCCAUCUAUCUUGUCAAGUGGAACGUACACAGCAGUUUCUCAGGCUAAAGUCCCACGGAGUACAUGGGAUGAAUUUCAAUUGUUCUACUGCAAAGCCACUCACCCGCAGGGCAACAAAAUAGUCCCGGUUGUUCGACAAUAUGAGAGACCAGUUGAACCUACAAUGCUCAUCCGUGCACCAAUCCUUAAUGCGUUUUCAAGUAUCUACCUAAAUUCCACUGUUACCUGUGAAGUUAGUGACCUCUGCUCUGGAAACGUUGCCAUCCGUUGGCUUAAGGAGAAAAAAGAAAUCACCACUGGCAUCACCACCAGCAAACCCAUCCCAAAUGGUCAUGGGGGAUACACCAUUAGCAGCAAAGUUGUCAUCACCAAGGAAGACUGGGUUUCUGAAAAGGAGUUCACCUGUGAAGCAAGAAGAAAGGACAAACCUAUCCUUUCAGAGACAUUCAACUUGCUAUCUUUCUGCAAAAGAGAUAUCUGUUUAGAUGUUACCGUGGAAACCAUCCCCCCAGCUUUUGCUGAUAUAUUCCAGACCAGCUCGGCCAACCUCACUUGCAAAAUCUCCAACAUCCCUGUUGAUGCAGACUAUUCAAAAUUGAACGUCACCUGGACACGAGCAUCAGACCAGAAGCAACUACACACUGUGAUGACCAACUUCCCAAGCCAGAACAAUGACAUUUCCUAUGUCAAUGCUGUAGCCACAGUGUGUGCAACAGAAUGGAAGAACGCUGAAACUUUUACCUGCAAAGUGACAUUUGAAGGUGUACUUGUCAAGCCAAUAGAAAAAACCCUGGUGAAGGAAAGUGUUGGCGAACCAAAAGCUCCCUCUGUCUACGUCCUUCCACCUUCAUUAGAAGAGCUGAAUUUGCGGGAAACAGUUACCCUCACAUGCCUCGUCAAAAACUUCAAUCCCGGCAACUUCUUUGUACGAUGGCUCCAGAAUGAACAGCCAGUCAGUGAAUCAGUAUACUUCACCAGCAAAGCCAUAUUAGAGUCCAAAAUACAAUCCAAAGAGUAUUUUGCCUACAGCAUGCUGAACAUCAAUGAACAGGAAUGGAGCGCAGGGGAUUCCUUCACUUGUGUGGUGGGACAUGAAGCCUUGCACUACAACUCAAUUCAGAAGACUGUAAACAAGAACACGGGUAAACCAUCCAUAGUCAACGUCUCCUUAGUCCUCUCCGACACUUCCACCCCUUGCUAUUAAUUGUCAACCUAAUUUCUUUUGAGAAACCUCCACUUACUCUAUCUCCACUAGCCUCUGCUUCUUCUGCUUCAUUGCUGAUACUUCGAUGGAAAGUUUUCGGUGAUGAAGGCAGAUCUCUAAGGAAGGAGGUGUCAGUGUUAAAUCAGUAGCUCGCCACCUUUUUCUGAAGGAAUUACAUAUUUUGCAAUAAAGUAUUUU